CUUCACCACCUGUUUCUUCAGUCAAAGUCUGCUUCCCUCAAGAUUUGGCCACCGGUGUUGUCUCCUUCAAAUCUGAAUAGAUUUUCUAGGCAACUGGUACUUCUCAUGCUGCCUCAGAAUCUGCCAACAAUGCCAAUGAUUUUGGGCACACCAAUGAAGACCUUCAUGUUGCAUAUGUUGCCAACAAUCAAGGUUCCGACAACAAUGGAGAUCAUGCAUCGAUUUGAUGCUGCUGUUUCAUUGCAAUACAUGGAUGUGAUGGUGGUUUCUUCUUUUGUAGUGUUGUGCUUUUGCACAUUAACUAGUAGGAGGCUCUAAUCUUUAGUUGUGGUAAUGCUUUUGAAUGUAACUAGUAGCGCUCUAAUCUUUAGCAGUGGUCUUACUUAUAUGACUCAAUGAUGCGCUGGUAGUUUAGUCAUCUUGGU